UUUCCUCUAGUUUGAACAAUAGAUAUUUAUUCAUUUUCUUGUGGUUUUUUCCCCCUAUGUAGAUAAUUAGGUCAACUUCUUGUGAAGGACUGUGAAUCUCCUUCAGUUAACUUGGCCAUAUUCUGAGACCUCAUUCAAUUAGCAUCAUGUCAUCCACCAACAAAAGCAUUUGCAGGACCUCAUUGUCUACAGGUCACAGUCAAGGUGGAUCAUUGAAGGCCCCGUAGCCCUAGCCUGGUAAUGGCUGGACACUGGAAGAAAACUGACUGAGAUGCUCAGACACCAUUUGAACUAUUCCUGCUGAUGUGUUUAUUCAUAAGAAUUGGUAGGGGCUAUGCAUUAAUAGAGAG
rnacentral:lncRNA from 1 species